rnacentral:rRNA from 1 species
UUUUGUAAGGUAAAAGUCGUAACAAGGUUUCCGUAGGUGAACCUGCGGAAGGAUCAUUACCGAGUGCGGGUCUUUAUGGCCCAACCUCCCACCCGUGACUAUUGUACCUUGUUGCUUCGGCGGGCCCGCCAGCGUUGCUGGCCGCCGGGGGGCGACUCGCCCCCGGGCCCGUGCCCGCCGGAGACCCCAACAUGAACCCUGUUCUGAAAGCUUGCAGUCUGAGUGUGAUUCUUUGCAAUCAGUUAAAACUUUCAACAAUGGAUCUCUUGGUUCCGGCAUCGAUGAAGAACGCAGCGAAAUGCGAUAACUAAUGUGAAUUGCAGAAUUCAGUGAAUCAUCGAGUCUUUGAACGCACAUUGCGCCCCCUGGUAUUCCGGGGGGCAUGCCUGUCCGAGCGUCAUUGCUGCCCUCAAGCCCGGCUUGUGUGUUGGGCCCUCGUCCCCCGGCUCCCGGGGGACGGGCCCGAAAGGCAGCGGCGGCACCGCGUCCGGUCCUCGAGCGUAUGGGGCUUCGUCUUCCGCUCCGUAGGCCCGGCCGGCGCCUGCCGACGCAAUUUUUUUGCAACUUGUUUUUUCCAGGUGACCUCGGAUCAGGUGGACCAA